rnacentral:tRNA from 1 species
GCCUGGGUGGCUCAGUCGGUUGAGCAUCCGACUUCAGCUCAGGUCAUGAUCUGACAGCUUGUGAGUUCAAGCCCCGCGUCAGGCU